UACGGGGGGGGCAAGCGUUGUUCGGAAUUACUGGGCGUAAAGGGCUCGUAGGUUGCCAACUAAGUCAGACGUGAAAUCCCUCGGCUUAACCGGGGAACUGCGUCUGAUACUGGAUGGCUUGAGUUCGGGAGAGGGAUGCGGGAUUCCAGGUGUAGCGGUGAAAUGCGUAGAUAUCUGGAGGAACACCGGUGGCGAAGGCGGCAUCCUGGACCGACACUGACACUGAGGAGCGAAAGCCAGGGGAGCAAACGGG
rnacentral:rRNA from 1 species